rnacentral:rRNA from 1 species
GAUGAACGCUGGCGGCGUGCCUAAUACAUGCAAGUCGAGCGAACAGACGAGGAGCUUGCUCCUCUGACGUUAGCGGCGGACGGGUGAGUAACACGUGGAUAACCUACCUAUAAGACUGGGAUAACUUCGGGAAACCGGAGCUAAUACCGGAUAAUAUAUUGAACCGCAUGGUUCAAUAGUGAAAGACGGUUUUGCUGUCACUUAUAGAUGGAUCCGCGCCGCAUUAGCUAGUUGGUAAGGUAACGGCUUACCAAGGCAACGAUGCGUAGCCGACCUGAGAGGGUGAUCGCCCACACUGGAACUGAGACACGGUCCAGACUCCUACGGGAGGAAGCAGUAGGGAAUCUUCCGCAAUGGGCGAAAGCCUGACGGAGCAACGCCGCGUGAGUGAUGAAGGUCUUCGGAUCGUAAAACUCUGUUAUUAGGGAAGAACAAAUGUGUAAGUAACUAUGAACGUCUUGACGGUACCUAAUCAGAAAGCCACGGCUAACUACGUG